GUCCACGCCGUAAACGAUGAAUACUAGCUGUUGGUCCCGCUCGACCGGGAUCAGUGGCGUCGCUAACGCAUUAAGUAUUCCGCCUGGGAAGUACGGCCGCAAGGCUAAAACUCAAAGGAAUAGACGGGGACCCACACAAGCGGUGGAGCAUCUGGUUUAAUUCGAUAAUAAGCGAGGAACCUUACCCAGGCUUGACAUCUCGGGAAUCUCUCCGAAAGGAGAGAGUGCCGCAAGGAACCCGAUGACAGGUGCUGCAUGGUUGUCGU
rnacentral:rRNA from 1 species